rnacentral:tRNA from 1 species
GGGAAUGUGGCUCAGUGGUAGAGCACUUGCCUAGCAUGUGUGAGGCCCUGGGUUCAAUCCUCAGUACCA